GGACCAGGACAGGCUGCUGCGGGCCAGGGGCAAACACGUCAGGCCUGGCCCCCAGUCCGCUGCUGCCCCUCCCUUUCACCUUCCAUCCAGCACUAAGGGAGUCUGGCCACGGCCUAAUAUAGGAGGGCUUGUGGAAGGAGACACCCACCCCCUCUUUCUGCACCUCUCCCCUCUUCCAUGCCACCCCCAGGCCAGGAGCCACCACAGCCCUGUCUGUGACUCUCAGCUCCCGAGGCUGGGCUCUUCCCCAGGGAAGCUGCAUGACCAUGGCCACAUACAGGAGGUAGGAGACAGAGGCCUCCACGGUGGACGAUCGUGGCGUGAAGUCCACGUUGACCACGUUGUCGGUGCUGGGGGAGCGGAUGAAGGCCAGGGACCCGCGGCGCUCUCCCUGUGGUCAGGAAGCAGCCCGGAGACCCUAAAACUCCAUUGGCCUCAUGUCCAGAACUGAAUCAGGUUCAGCUCGUGGAAGACAUUCAGGAUCCGGUCUCGAGACUUCUGGGCCGACCGUCUCAUGAGGACCCUGCUGAGGAACUUCCUGUCGAAGUGGGACCACCUGUAGGGACAGACCUUGGGUGUGAGCCUCAGGUGACAGGCGCCCUAGAGCCCGCCGGACGCGUGGCCCGGCCCCUUCUCUCCUGAAUUUUGUUUGCUAUAGUGACCCUGUAGGCGCGUUUAAAAUGAGGGAAGCAGCCCCUGCCACACGCCCAGGCCGUCCGCCGUUCUCCCGCCUGUCCUGUUGGAUGGAGGCCGUUAGACGCAUAUGAAACUGCAUGCCGCCUCCUCCAGAGGGUGGCUCAGGACACGCCUAACGGAAUUAGAGUAUUCGCUGGUUAUCCAGAUCAGAAGGGACGGUGGCCUGGCCGGACUUAGAGGAAACUCUGGGGCACAAGGAGGUGAUGCCUGUCACUUGGACAUGGGUGCAGCCGCCAGAGCCGCCCUCCAGGGCACAGGGUGGGCCCGGGUGAGCUUGUGUGCUCACACCUGGGCAGGCCCCGCGGCAGCAAUGGCAGCUCUCCUGUACAGGCUGAGUUUCAGCCACACCAAGAAGUCAAAGCUAACCGAGGCUGUGCCUUCCGAGACCCCCGGGAUGGCCCCUGGGAGGCCAAGGAGUCGGGGACUGGGUACCCGGAGCAGAGUCACUGUGGCCACGGAGAACCGCAGCUGAGCUUUAUGAAGCCACGUGGCCACACCUCCCGGUGCCUCCACCCCAAGCAAACACAGAUCGCUCAGAAAAUGGGAACCCAGGGCAAAUUGUAUGUGCUCCUUACUGGGUUUAUUA
rnacentral:lncRNA from 1 species